AUGGCUUUGUGUUGCUGUUGUUGUAGUUGUUGUUUUAUGGUUUCUACAGAUGCUUCCAAUAAAAGAAUUGUGCAACUAUUCCCAUCGGUGGCCUGUCCUCUACCCACAAUAGUGAUGGAGAAGACUGUUGGAUUUCCAUCAGCAGAACAAUGUGAGCGUGGACUCCACUGCCACACAUUUAAGAAAGAUCUCCUCAAGUUGCUGCUUGCCAAAGAAACAGGCGAGGUGGGAUGCCCCUGUGAAAGCUUCGCCCUGUGCAGCAUUCCCAUGGAAGAGUUAUUUCCAUCAAAGGUCCCACCCUUACUGAUGUUACUGCUGGGGAAAUAGGAGACAUCUUUUACAGGUUGGAUGUUUCUCCUUCUGUGACCUCCACUCUCUCUUAAUGCGUCCUUCUUGUUGCUGGGAUUUCCUGCUCCUUAUCACCCCAUGUGCUGGAUUCACUCGCUUUUGAAUGGAUGCUAUUUGGAUGAGUUUGGGAUUUCUGAUUCUUUGUUAGGAAUUAGGUAUUACAGAGAUCCAGGACAAGACCAAAGCCAGAUUCGUGAAAGCCUCUACAUGCCUAAGUCCUAACCCCAUGGGACUUGUUAUGUGCUUGAGCUGAGCACCCAUUUGCCUUUGGCUUUCUGGUCAUGAAAGCUGGUCCUCUGCUGUCUUGAGGGCGCUAUGUGCUACUUCCGUGUGCAGAGCAGGCAGGAACAGAAUAUGAUAGCCCCGAAAAGAAGCCUCAGUCACUGUCCCCAUGCUUCCAUUUCCCUUAUUGUCCACAUAAUUGCCCAAGAUGCUUGACUGCACAACUGACUACCUUAAUGGCACCUACAUAUCCAAAGAACAGCAAAGAAUUUCUUGUAUGAGGAGUACCGAGCCUGAAGCCCUGCGAUGCUGCAGGAGCUGUGAUGCUGAGGUGCUCACUAAUGGGCAGAACAGGGCUCUCGCACCAGGAAUGAGCCCCAGCCAAGAUGCUGACAGACCUUUAUCAUUCAGGAAAGCUUGUUACAGGCUCAGCACCGCUGCUUCUCUCUCAUCCACAGUUUUCUAAGAGCUGCAAGUGAUCUGUUUGGCUCUGACCCCAUGAUCUUUGCUCAUACAAAGCUCCUAUUGACACCAAGAAUUUUCCAGCCCUUCGUUCUUACUGACAGAGGCAGUUUUAGCUGGGUGAGAACUUUGCCACUGGGGCAUGUGUGUUUUUCAGGGUUUUUCCAGGUAAAGAUUUUAUAUUCAAAUGUUUUCCUCCCUCUUGUAGGUGCUGAGCUCUCAGAAUCAGCGGUGUGGGAUUCCAGCUUUGUUAAAACAAUACCCUAAAGGUUGCGAAGCCAUGCCACUUGCCAAG
rnacentral:lncRNA from 1 species